AUGAACGCUGGCGGCGUGCCUAAUACAUGCAAGUCGAGCGAACGGACGAGAAGCUUGCUUUUCUGAUGUUAGCGGCGGACGGGUGAGUAACACGUGGAUAACCUACCUAUAAGACUGGGAUAACUUCGGGAAACCGGAGCUAAUACCGGAUAAUAUUUUGAACCGCAUGGUUCAAAAGUGAAAGACGGUCUUGCUGUCACUUAUAGAUGGAUCCGCGCUGCAUUAGCUAGUUGGUAGGGUAACGGCUUACCAAGGCAACGAUGCAUAGCCGACCUGAGAGGGUGAUCGGCCACACUGGAACUGAGACACGGUCCAGACUCCUACGGGAGGCAGCAGUAGGGAAUCUUCCGCAAUGGGCGAAAGCCUGACGGAGCAACGCCGCGUGAGUGAUGAAGGUCUUCGGAUCGUAAAACUCUGUUAUUAGGGAAGAACAUAUGUGUAAGUAACUGUGCACAUCUUGACGGUACCUAAUCAGAAAGCCACGGCUAACUACGUG
rnacentral:rRNA from 1 species